AUUUAAUAUGAGCAACCACAAGUUAGACAAAAAGAAAUAUGUCUGUGUGACACAUAUCUUAAGUUAAAAGAAUAUAGAUUUAAAAUAUCGAAAGGCCAAAAGACAAAAAGUUUGAACAGGCUUCAAAUAAUCAAACAUAAUAUUCUGAGUGAAAAUUCUUUCUUCUUUUAAAAUAUGUAGGUAAGACCUUUUGUCCCUACUAAUUUAACUUUUCUUCGACCUAUUGUAUUUCAUUUUUUAUUUCAUUCCUGGAGCAACAUUUGAAAAGGGCCCAACAGGAUUUGUGCCUUUUUUCGAAAUCGCUUCGAGGGCCUAACAGCAGCCCACCCACGCAAAUGAACACCGUUAUCCGAAAGAUCGAUGUUUGCUCUAUCUGAAAACUGUCUUAGUUUGUGUGAAUAAUUUGAUGGGGGGCCCUUGUAUGCCCUUUUCAAAUGUUGCUCCAGAUUUAUACGAUUUAUCUUUUCAGCUUCAGCAUUUCAGAAGGGCGUAACUGGUUGAUGAUACGGCUCCUUCUUCUAUGGAAGUAGAUUGCAUGUCACCCCGCUAAUGUAAGCCAUCGAAAGAGGAGCAUUAUUUUUGUCUAGAAGUGCAACGCCACAGCUUUAAAAAAAGGUGUUGUUUUGGAAAGUAGUUACGCGUUCUUGAAAUACUGAGGCUGAGAGGACAAAAUGUAGAAAUGCAAAAAAAAAAAUCGAAGACAAUAUUGCGCGUUUCGCCGUAGAUUAUCACACAAAAAUGUUCAAAAUCGCAAAUAGAUCGUCGCCAGUACAUCAUAUCGAGUCCGUGUCUUCUACAAAAAAUGCGGAAAAUAGCUAUUGAUUGACCGCGCAGAAGACACUGAAACGAUUAAAUGUAACUGCGCAUAUUUAUUUACAUGUUUGCAUAAUUUUGCGCGAUAAUUUUUCUUGUAAUGUAUAGUAGGUCGAAAAAAAUAAAAUUAGUAGGGACAAAAGGUCUUACCUACAUAUUAAAAAAAAGAAAGAAUUUUCGUGCAGCAUUUUAUGUGUGAUUACUUGAAGCCUGAUUCGACUUUUUGUCUUUUGCCCUUUCAAUGUUUUUUUUUUUCUAUACUUUUAACUUAAGCCGUUUGGCACACAGACAUAUUUCUUUUUGUUUAAUUUGUGGUUGCCCAUAUUUGACUAUUGUUUUAAAGCAGAUUUUCUGUAUAGAGAGUGUACGCUCUUCAUAUAUCGAUGCUAACAUUUCAAAAUGGCAAAACUGCUGGCCGAAACCAAACCUUUAUCUCUCCGUUGCAACGUACAACCACUACUGGACGGAGGAAAUGCAAUUCUUGCCGAUAGUUGUCGUUGGUGUCCUGGGAAAGAUGAGAUUCGAUCUACAGCUAUGGUAGAAGAUAUUGUUUUAAAGAUCAAUUACGUCCUUUUGAAAUGUUUGUGCUGAUAUGUAUGUGAAUACUAUCGCUAUGACUGACAGUAAUAUGAACAUCUAUUGACAUGUGGAAUCACAAUACAAUAUACUUUUAAUUGAAUUUGUUACACCAAUGUAAUGUUUGUUUUCUAUAGGCCCUAAGAACUUCUACCGUAUAUUGACGUAAUGACAAAUUGUGAUACAAAAUGCACUCCACCGAUAUUCAUAUGGAUGCAUACUACCAAAUUUCAAUGUUGUUCAUGAUAAUUUCUGUUAUUGAUGCUUUUAAUUCAUGAUUCUGUUAUGAAAUGUGGUGUUAUUCUAUACAAAACUCGAUUUUUUAGAGGUUAGGCCCUUUAAAAGGGCGUAACUCAAAAUUUCGCCCAACGAUGAUUUUGAAAAUUUGUCCAGAGGUGUAGGAUAGAUAAAUAAAGAGAAUGGCGUUUCAGGUUUUGAUGGUAUAUUUUAUUUUAUAAUAACGGUAAAUGGAGCACCGUGCCCCGGUAUUAACUCAAUAUUGGCAAAAAAUGCAAAUGUUACAAUUAUGCAGUUAUGGGCAGUAUACUGAUGCAUCAAUUGCAUUAAACAAAUUUUGGUGUUAUUCGAUUCAGAGAUCGCUUCGUAAUCCCGUUCGUGAUGAUGUUCUUAACUGUAAUAUGAUUAAAGUUUUGUAUCUGUUUGUGAUUAAAAUAUGUGGGAGUCAAACAAACGAAACUUCCGAUGAACACACGUAAUUUUGUUUGAAAAUUUGUUAAAUACCCACAGCAAAUAUUUGAUGAUAUUUAUAUUUAUGUAUUCGUUUUAGAUUUUUGAGAUGAAAUUCCUCUGCCCUGGCCCAAGUACCAAAUCUCGUGCAGAAGAGCUUUGGAUGAUGACGUAUGCAGAUCGAGAGCAAAAUCGGAAGAAACAAGCGUUUCAUGAUUACAUGAAAUCAUUUCCGGUAGCAUCUUCGUUUAACGGGCUCAUGAUUUCCUUGGACCUCGGAAAAAUGCAUCCCGAUGCACAGGAUUUCUGCCAGCAGUUUUCGGUUUUGCAGUCGAAGGUGUUUGCUAAAUAUGACGAUUUGCUGCUCCACAUUUCAUACGACUUCCUACGCACGUUGGCCAUAAUACGCCUGGAAAAUCCGUCACGUGGUGUCAAACGUUCAAACAAUGAGACAACGAAGAAAAAACACACUGGAUGGAAUAGUCGAUAUAGUUAAGGAGGAUGAUGUUACUGUGGUCGCCAAUACACCAGUGCUUCGCGUGAAGCUAACACCUAAAGGAUGUGACGAAGGUACAAUUGCCUGGAAGGAAUGCUCUAUCAAGUUGGCGUUGGAUUUAGUGAAUUUCUUCCGCGUUUCAUGCGAGACCUUUCACGUUUUCAACUGUGAUGUAAGGCCCGAGAACAAACAAUUUUAUUCCUUUAUUUUUGCUCCUGUUAUGAAAAUUGGAUCGUUGUCCAAAUAGAAAUACACUAGAACUCCAAUGGCGCUGCA